rnacentral:rRNA from 1 species
AAUCUUCCACAAUGGACGAAAGUCUGAUGGAGCAACGCCGCGUGAGUGAAGAAGGUUUUCGGAUCGUAAAGCUCUGUUGUAAGGGAAGAACACGUACAGGAGUAACUGCCUGUACCUUGACGGUACCUUACCAGAAAGCCACGGCUAACUACGUGCCAGCAGCCCCGGUAAUCCGUAGGUGGCAAGCGUUAUCCGGAAUUCUUGGGCGUAAAGCGCGCGCAGGCGGUCCUUUAAGUCUGAUGUGAAAGCCCACGGCUCAACCGUGGAGGGUCAUUGGAAACUGGAGGACUUGAGUACAGAAGAGGAAAGCGGAAUUCCACGUGUAGCGGUGAAAUGCGUAGAGAUGUGGAGGAACACCAGUGGCGAAGGCGGCUUUCUGGUCUGUAACUGACGCUGAGGCGCGAAAGCGUGGGGAGCAAACAG